AAACCAGCACCUCAAGUGGUCAGGAGGAUUAUUGGGCCUAAAGCAUCCGUAGCCUGUUCUAUAAGUUUCCGGUUAAAUCCACUAGCUCAACUAGUGGGCUGCCGAAAAUACUGUAGAACUAGGGAGUGGGAGAGGUAGACGGUAUUCGGUAGGAAGGGGUAAAAUCCUUUGAUCUAUUGAGGACCACCUGUGGCGAAGGCGGUCUACCAGAACACGUUCGACGGUGAGGGAUGAAAGCUGGGGGAGCAAACAGGAUUAGAAACCCCUGUAGUCC
rnacentral:rRNA from 1 species